rnacentral:lncRNA from 1 species
AGCACUAGGGAAGAUUUCCUUUUCCUAGUAGAAGCCGCGAAGAUAACUUGAGGUAAAGAAAUUCAUGAGCGUGAUAAAACUGUUUGCUUGUAGACCUCUGAACCCCUAUUGGUGUUGAGUACGCUCUCAAAUGGAUGUUUUAAGUUUUUGCACCUACGUCUUAAUCAUGGCCCUCGGAAUUCCAAGAAAGUCCUUCUUCGUGGACAUUUCUUGGGGCUACCCAUUCACAAGCAAGCAAGACGAUUCCAUUGGACAGAGUGUAACAGUUUACCCGCAAGUGUUCGAAGGCCGGCAGGAGAACUCGGAAAAAGUAUUGGUGAUUGAAGGAUACUCUCUAUACCUAAAGAAAGCUUCAGUUCUCGCCGAUACAGUCCUCCUGCUAGAAGUAACAGAAAACGGUACUGUUCAAAAAUAUGUUAGAGGUUCUGACUACGAGGGACACUUGUUUGAAGAUAAGGAAAAAAUGGCAUCGCUGAUCCUCAAGCCUGUAGGUCGAGGAAAUUAUCACGUUGUGAGUAAACGGCUUUGCCAAGUAAAACGUUUGUA